GCUUCGGCUUGUACGUUUGUGUGUUAUUAUGGAGCAAAAGUGACAAGUUUAGACGCGUCAGUUUCGAGUUAAUUUUAAAAUUUUGGAUGUUGAUGCAAUUUUACCUCAGCCAAAAUCAUUGGAAAAGGUGCAUAAAGACGCUCAGAAGGCGGAACCGGUGCAGUGAGUAUUUUUCCCGGUACGGAUUUCCCGCAGAAACGGAACGAAAAAAUCUUCCCACUGCGAAGUAGAGCAAGCGCUUGGGAAGCCGAAGCGGCAGGUGGUGGCGGCGGUGGGAACGGGAAAGUCGUGAGCGCGGGAACAGGCAAAAGCCUCGGCCGCCUUCGAUUUCGACGUCUCCGAAUCGUGAAACAAAAACAUUCAAACUUCGAAGCCGCGUCAAAUCGUCACUGACGGGAUAAACAAAAACAAGAUCACAAAAGUGAUAAAGUGGCGCUUUCCGUUUGAAUUUGGAAACAGAGGAGUUUGCUGAAGUUAAAAAAAGCCCUACUCGCAAUCAAAUAGAUCAGAAUGCCUCGAUUGAAGAAAAAAGAAGAACCAACUCCACCGGCAGAGCCCACAGUAACCCUGACGGCAGGUCGCUCUCGCCGUACCAUCAAACCCAAUCGUAAAUAUCUCAAUGAUAGUGUGGUAUUGGCCACAACGUCCAAAACUUCAUCACGGGACAGCAGUCCAGAUAGCGAUGCCAGCGAAGAUGACUACAGACAGGACGAUGAUGAUGAGGAGAUUAUCCCACCGAAAUCGGCUGCCGGGAGAAAAAGUACUGGCUCGACUGCGGCUGCCAAGAGGAAACCGGGACCAGCCACUCCGGGUGCCAGAUCACGAGGUAGACCUCCCAAAGGGGUAACCAAAACCGAGCCUGUUAAAAAUUUGCGAAAGGAAGUUUUGAAAAAGAUGGACUUGUCAACCUUGAACAUGGGAAGGGCUCGCGUAGUUUUGACCCCAAUUAACAAGGACAUCAAGAGGAAGCUUGAUUUAGACACAUCCCUUGUGAAAGAUAAGACGCCCAUCAGAGGGAAGCAACCAGAAAAGCAACCAGAAAAACAACCGGAGAAACAAGCUGAGAGGCCAAAACCUAAAAUAUUGAGCAAACCUCAAGAGCCUGUGAAACCCGAGAGACAUGCUCCAGGCAAAGUGGUGGAUAAUAGAGAAAAGCCCAAGCCAAUGUUUAAGAAGAAACCAUCGGAACUACCAUCUCCGAAGCAACGGGAACCACAGGUGCCCAAGAAGUUAAUCAACCCCGCAGCAUUGCAGAAACAAAGGGUGGAGAAGUCGAUACUAGAUAAAAGACAGAAGAAACCGGAAAAGCCCACGACAACAGAAGACGUCGAAGAUGAUGACGAUGAUGUCCAAAUAGUUGGAAUUAGUCGUGAAGUGGCGCCAAACUUAGGGCGGAAAUCAUUACGAAAAAGUCCACUGAUUGCAAAGCAAAUUUCACCGAUCGCGAGGAAACCAGCUAAACCGGUUGUUGCUAGUAAGACUACGCCCCCAGUUGUCACCAAGUCUACUCCGCCUGUUGGUGCUUCCGGACCAAAGCGUAAAGCAGCAGAUUCUAGUGCAGACGAUAGCGGAAUUAAGGCAAGACAGGCUCGUUCGUCAAAGGUCAGCAAAAUGUCCAUCACAUUGGACUCGGAUGACGAUGAAAUGAGUGAUGGCGAACCCGUUCGCAGAAGCACUCGAUCCAGCUUGAUCUCAGACAAGGGUUCUGCUGCUAACUCACCGCAGAACACUUCCGCCAAAGCAAAGGAUUCGUCAGCUCCCACAAAGCUACCCGGAAAAGAUGCAAACAUUACGAAGGCUACAAUAAGCAAAUCUAUUAGUAUGCCAGCUUUGGACAAAACUAAGAUAGCUAGCAGACCUUCCACUGCUAAACCGAUACAAACACCAGCCUCCAAAAUUUUGCCGAAACCGAUGGCUCAGUCAACGCCGAAACCUGCUGUUGCUUCCACGUUAGGAGAGAAGAAAAGCAAGUCCGAGAUGAAUCUCGCCGAUCCCAUCAAUUCUUCCGACAAGGAUCUCAAAGGAAAGGACAAAAACAAGUCGGAUCAAGCAACCAUUCGGAUUGUUAACAUUGGUGACAUCAUAAAAAAUAAAGCCAACAGCACGCCCGAUGUUCGGAAAGCUGGUAUUAGUAAGCCAAUCGCUACAAAGGACAUGUAUGCCUCUUCCACCGAAAGUGAAGACUCGGAGGAUUCAGAUUUUUCGGAAGAUUCGUAUGAUCCGAAAACAGAUAAACCCAAAACUAAUAAUCAGCUAGUAGCCACGAUAUUGGAACGUAAACGACCUAUCAAUUUGGAUCAUUUACGGCUUAACCGGUCGGGGAAACGAGGGCGACCAUCCACCAAACAGUCUGCUGCAGAAAACAAAGUCCCCAAAGCAUCGGGCGCUAAUCUGGCCCAAGACGAUGGAGUGGACUUUGAGGAUAUGCUUCAAACCAACAUCGUAACUGCAAACAAAGUUCAAAAGGUCAUCAAUCCAACGAUUAUGCGGGGUCGUGGAAGGCCUCCAAAUAGCACAGAUGAAAACUCUUCGCGCCCUAGCGUAACCAAAGCAGUGCCAUUGAACAAGGGACCGGCCACUGCGGGUGUUAAAACGCUGACAUCCAAUAAUAAUAACGUGUACAAAUCCAACAACAAUGGCCGGCUUGGGUCGACGACAACUCUCAAUCGGUCUGGCUCGACAAGUCCUCAGAAAGGACCACCUCGAAUUUUGAAUGCCACCAUGAAACUGGGCGACAACCGUCCAUUUGCCAAAUUGAUUGCGAAUAGCGAUAACAAACACUACUCAAUCGAUUUGACGGAUCCGGACAACAAUGUUAAGCUGAUAGCAUCUCCAGGCUCCACGGCGAUUUCGCCGGUGAAGAGAUCACCUAUCAAGCCUGUUCCGCGACCGAUCGUUGCCUCGACCGGUCUGCGGAACACUUCGAACGCUGUGAACAAGUCCGUCGGUGGGGCAGUGCAACGAUCGGUCUCUGCGAUUACCAGUUCCUCUGGUAGUGGUUCCAAGAUGAAGAAGAUCACCUGCUAUGAAACAUGGUACGUCAUCAACAUCCCCAACACGGAGAACAAACCGGAACGUCCAUCGUUUGCCAUGUCGAUGAUUGGGCUUGGCAAUGAAGCAGCCAACAUUCAGCUGCCUUCCUCGGAGUGGUCCCACAAAAUUAUUCUCACAAAGCGAAAAGUGCUCCCGACCGAAGGCGAUGAGGUUUUCAAUGGCGACGUGGAAGAUCGAGCCAUCAGCGAGGAAGAGAAGCGCAAUUAUGAACCUUGCAAUAUCAUGUUCCGGAGGCGAACGGCCACACCGGGCAAGUUCAACCUGCAGUACGAUCGGGCGGUUAUUUUCAAGAACGACACUUUCUUCAUCAACGUCGAUGGAAAGAACUGCCAGCUGGUGGGGGCUCCCUGCAAGCUCGGCGAUGUCCAUGACAUUGAGACCCUGUUGUCCGUUGUCGAUUUUGUAAAUCUGAAAAACUCAUGUGUCGAAUUGUCGGCUGCCUAAUUUGUACGGAUGACCGCAGUUGUUGUCCGGUGAAAAGUCGACAACCUGUAAAUAGCUUUAUUUUAAACGAAUAACAUCAGAAGCACUCCAACUAAAACAGAUGCCACCUAGAACGGAGAGAAAGCCGUACAGAUUGUGAGACUAAGAUGAGAGGAAUCGCAAAGAACGCUAAAGGAAGCAUCCAUGGAAGGAUUCCAGAUGCUUCAACUUGGGAAUGUUCAAUUAUUGUCAUAUAUUGCGUUUUCAACAGUUUGAUUUAGAAUUUUAGUUCAGUGUGUAGUAACUAGUAUGUACUCGAAAACUAUGUAUAACAAGUACAAAAAAACUUGGAAAUAAUACUACUAAUAAUUUACAAUUUGUAAAUAUAGUAGUUUCUCUACAAAUUCAAAUUUGUUACUGUUUCAUUUAUAUGCUUAGUAUAAAAAGAUCUAAUGUGUAAGCUUGAUGAAUAAUGACUACAAUGUGUAAAAGUGUAACAAUAUAAAAAACUUUAUUCAGUUAUCAAUAAAAGUAUAAGUGGAAAAUUCAAA